UUAGAGUUUGAUCCUGGCUCAGAUUGAACGCUGGCGGCAGGCCUAACACAUGCAAGUCGAGCGGAUGAAGGGAGCUUGCUCCCUGAUUCAGCGGCGGACGGGUGAGUAACACGUGAGUAACCUGCCCUUGACUCUGGGAUAAGCGUUGGAAACGACGUCUAAUACCGGAUAUGACCUGUGACGGCAUCGUCUGCAGGUGGAAAGAAUUUUGGUCAAGGAUGGACUCGCGGCCUAUCAGGUAGUUGGUGAGGUAACGGCUCACCAAGCCGACGACGGGUAGCCGGCCUGAGAGGGUGACCGGCCACACUGGGACUGAGACACGGCCCAGACUCCUACGGGAGGCAGCAGUGGGGAAUAUUGCACAAUGGGCGAAAGCCUGAUGCAGCAACGCCGCGUGAGGGACGACGGCCUUCGGGUUGUAAACCUCUUUUAGUUGGGAAGAAGGGAGCUUGCUCUUGACGGUACCAGCAGAAAAAGCACCGGCUAACUACGUGCCAGCAGCCGCGGUAAUACGUAGGGUGCAAGCGUUGUCCGGAAUUAUUGGGCGUAAAGAGCUCGUAGGCGGUUUGUCGCGUCUGCUGUGAAAUCUGGGGGCUCAACCCCCAGCCUGCAGUGGGUACGGGCAGACUAGAGUGCGGUAGGGGAGAUUGGAAUUCCUGGUGUAGCGGUGGAAUGCGCAGAUAUCAGGAGGAACACCGAUGGCGAAGGCAGAUCUCUGGGCCGUUACUGACGCUGAGGAGCGAAAGCAUGGGGAGCGAAC
rnacentral:rRNA from 1 species